GUCCCAGUUGAGCAAUGAAUAGCGCGUUGGACUUUUAAUCCAAAGGUCGUGGGCUCGAAUCCCUCCUGGGAUG